rnacentral:rRNA from 1 species
GAUGAACGCUGGCGGCGUGCCUAAUACAUGCAAGUCGAGCGAACGGACGAGAAGCUUGCUUCUCUGAUGUUAGCGGCGGACGGGUGAGUAACACGUGGAUAACCUACCUAUAAGACUGGGAUAACUUCGGGAAACCGUAGCUAAUACCGGAUAAUAUUUUGAACCGCAUGGUUCAAAAGUGAAAGACGGUCUUGCUGUCACUUAUAGAUGGAUCCGCGCUGCAUUAGCUAGUUGGUAAGGUAACGGCUUACCAAGGCAACGAUGCAUAGCCGACCUGAGAGGGUGAUCGGCCACACUGGAACUGAGACACGGUACAGACUCCUACGGGAGGCGGCAGUAGGGAAUCUUCCGCAAUGGGCGAAAGCCUGACGGAGCAACGCCGCGUGAGUGAUGAAGGUCUUCGGAUCGUAAAACUCUGUUAUUAGGGAAGAACAUAUGUGUAAGUAACUGUGCACAUCUUGACGGUACCUAAUCAGAAAGCCACGGCUAACUACGUG